rnacentral:rRNA from 1 species
CGUAGUCGAUGGGAAACAGGUUAAUAUUCCUGUACUUGGUGUUACUGCGAAGGGGGGACGGAGAAGGCUAUGUUGGCCGGGCGACGGUUGUCCCGGUUUAAGCGUGUAGGCUGGUUUUCCAGGCAAAUCCGGAAAAUCAAGGCUGAGGCGUGAUGACGAGGCACUACGGUGCUGAAGCAACAAAUGCCCUGCUUCCAGGAAAAGCCUCUAAGCAUCAGGUAACAUCAAAUCGUACCCCAAACCGACACAGGUGGUCAGGUAGAGAAUACCAAGGCGCUUGAGAGAACUCGGGUGAAGGAACUAGGCAAAAUGGUGCCGUAACUUCGGGAGAAGGCACGCUGAUAUGUAGGUGAAGUCCCU